rnacentral:rRNA from 1 species
AGCGAACGCUGGCGGCAGGCCUAACACAUGCAAGUCGAACGAACCUUUCGGGGUUAGUGGCGGACGGGUGAGUAACACGUGGGAACGUGCCUUUAGGUUCGGAAUAACUCAGGGAAACUUGUGCUAAUACCGAAUGUGCCCUUCGGGGGAAAGAUUAAUCGCCUUUAGAGCGGCCCGCGUCUGAUUAGCUAGUUGGUUGAGGUAAUGGCUCACCAAGGCGACGAUCAGUAGCUGGUCUGAGAGGAUGAUCAGCCACAUUGGGACUGAGACACGGCCCAAACUCCUACGGGAGGCAGCAGUGGGGAAUCUUGCGCAAUGGGCGAAAGCCUGACGCAGCCAUGCCGGGUGAAUGAUGAAGGUCUUAGGAUUGUAAAAUUCUUUCACCGGGGACGAUAAUGACGGUACCCGGAGAAGAAGCCCCGGCUAACUACGUG